CUCCCCUCAAAGCAAGGAUUUUGUUAAGAAAUCUGGCUGGUGUUGGGCUUUGCCUUUAGGCAUGCCUUAAAAUUAGCGAUGAUCCCUUAAACCACGAACGCACAAAUGUUGUUCGGCUGUUAGAAGUGGAUCAGUCAACUGAUGAAAUUCUGAA
rnacentral:misc_RNA from 1 species